GAUGAACGCUGGCGGCGUGCUUAACACAUGCAAGUCGAACGAAGCACCCCUCCCGAAGAUUGACACAGCUUGCUGCAGAUUGAUUCAUUUGAGGUGACUGAGUGGCGGACGGGUGAGUAACGCGUGGGUAACCUGCCUCAUAGAGGGGGACAACAGUUGGAAACGACUGCUAAUACCGCAUAGUAAGAAGAAUUCGCAUGUUUUCUUCUUGAAAGAUUUAUCGCUAUGAGAUGGACCCGCGUCUGAUUAGCUAGUUGGUAAGGUAACGGCUUACCAAGGCGACGAUCAGUAGCCGGCUUGAGAGAGUGAACGGCCACAUUGGGACUGAGACACGGCCCAAACUCCUACGGGAGGCAGCAGUGGGGAAUAUUGCACAAUGGGGGAAACCCUGAUGCAGCGACGCCGCGUGAGUGAAGAAGUAUUUCGGUAUGUAAAGCUCUAUCAGCAGGGAAGAUAAUGACGGUACCUGACUAAGAAGCCCCGGCUAACUACGUG
rnacentral:rRNA from 1 species